GUAGGUGGCAAGCGUUGUCCGGAAUUAUUGGGCGUAAAGCGCGCGCAGGUGGUUCUUUAAGUCUGAUGUGAAAGCCCCCGGCUCAACCGGGGAGGGUCAUUGGAAACUGGGGAACCUGAGUGCAGGAGAGGAAAGUGGAAUUCCACGUGUAGCGGUGAAAUGCGUAGAUAUGUGGAGGAACACCAGUGGCGAAGGCGACUUUCUGGCCUGUAACUGACACUGAGGCGCGAAAGCGUGGGGAGCAAACAGGGAUUAGAUACCCUGGUAGUCCACGCCGUAAACGAUGAGUGCUAAGUGUUGGGGGGGUUUCCGCCCCCUCAGUGCUGCAGCUAACGCAUUAAGCACUCCGCCUGGGAGUACGGUCGCAAGACUG
rnacentral:rRNA from 1 species